CCAAUAGCGUAUAUUAAAGCUGUUGCGGUUAAAAAGCUCGUAGUUGGAUUUCUGUCAAGGACAACUGGUCCGCCCCUCGGGUGAGCACAUAGUUUGGUCUUGGCAUCUUGUUGGAAACUGUUGCUGCACUUGGUUGUGUGGCGCAGUGUCCAGCACUUUCACUUUGAGGAAAUUGGAGUGUUUCAAGCAGGCACAUGCCUUUGGACACAGUAGCAUGGAAUAAUUAGAUUGGGCUUUUGCUCCAACUUGUCGGUUUCUGGAGCUGAGGUGAGAAUUAAUGGGGAUUGUUGGGGGCAUCCGAAUUUAGCCGUCAGAGGUGAAAUUCUUGGAUCUGCUAAAGACGGACAACUGCGAAAGCGUUUGCCCAGGAUGUUUUCAUUGA
rnacentral:rRNA from 1 species